rnacentral:tmRNA from 1 species
GGGGAUGACACGGUUUCGACAGGGAGGGCUGGUCAGAGAUUGCAGGCCGAGGUGCCUCAACCUCGUAAAUCAGGGGCAACACCAAUAAGUGCCAACGACACUUACGCACCGGCCUAUGCUCUCGCCGCGUAAUAGCGGCUGAGCUAAGCCAAAUGAUCGGCAACGCGUCCGAUCACGUCCGCCUGGGGCUUGGGCCCGAGAGACCCAGAUCGGGCGUCGAUAAAAUCGGGCUGCGGUCGGGGAGACGCCGAUAACCCCUGACCCAAGACCUUAUCGGCUGGCAGGUCUGGACUCGGUCGAUCGACGAAGGACCUGCGAGAAACAUUGGGAUCGACUAAGCCUGUAGCAGAUCUCUGGUCGAACUUUCUGGACGCGGGUUCGAUUCCCGCCAUCUCCACCA